AUUGAACGCUGGCGGCAGGCCUAACACAUGCAAGUCGAAUGGUAACAGGAAACAGCUUGCUGUUUCGCUGACGAGUGGCGGACGGGUGAGUAAUGUCUGGGAAACUGCCUGAUGGAGGGGGAUAACUACUGGAAACGGUAGCUAAUACCGCAUAACGUCGCAAGACCAAAGAGGGGGACCUUCGGGCCUCUUGCCAUCAGAUGUGCCCAGAUGGGAUUAGCUAGUAGGUGGGGUAACGGCUCACCUAGGCGACGAUCCCUAGCUGGUCUGAGAGGAUGACCAGCCACACUGGAACUGAGACACGGUCCAGACUCCUACGGGAGGCAGCAGUGGGGAAUAUUGCACAAUGGGCGCAAGCCUGAUGCAGCCAUGCCGCGUGUAUGAAGAAGGCCUUCGGGUUGUAAAGUACUUUCAGCGGGGAGGAAGGGAGUAAAGUUAAUACCUUUGCUCAUUGACAUUACCCGCAGAAGAAGCACCGGCUAACUCCGUG
rnacentral:rRNA from 1 species